CUCCUCCCUGGCACUCUUCCUCUUUGCCCUCAUUUGUAAUUUCUACCCUAGCUCAUCCCUCCCCUGCAGCCUUCCCUAACCCUAGAUCGACGGGGCCGCCAUCUCAUCUCCUCUUCCAGAAGGCGGGAGUAGCAGUGAAGACCACCAUGGAAUGCUACUCUGUCGGUGACCAAGGACGGGAAAAACAAGGCCGUGUGAGGUGUGGAUGGAUUUGUGGACGGGCGAAGCCGCAUCACGGUCAUGGAUCAUCUUCCUUCUUAUCCCCACCAAAAGUUUCGUUUAUCUUUUGGAGGCCAGAAAUCUCCCUUCUUAUCCCCACCAAAAUUUCGUUUAUCUUUUGGAGGCCAGAAAUAUGGUAUUUCUUUCUAUGGAAGACAUCAGUUUUGCAUCCGAGUUAUUCGUUUGAAUGGAAUGUUUAUCUCCUUCACCAGGCUGAAGGAUGUUCGCCACAACUUAAAAGCAGGUCAAUCAUGUUUAAAUUGCCUUUCUAAAUUGGCUUUCACAUGUAUGGCAGGCUGGCAGCAGCACCAUAGGAAUUAGUCCUCAACCAAGACUUGGAAUAUUUACUCGAGUGAGUACUGAGGAGCACAACUCGGGUCAUGCGUGAGAAUUAGGAGGGCAUCGGUCAUCUGCAACUUUAGAUCGUUCCCAAGGUGGUAAAGCUUAUUCCUUUCCCAAAGCUUAUUCAUUAUUAUGCAUAUUUAUUUAACUUACCUUUCAUCAGAUUAAUGCGAUUAACACAAUCCAAUACGAAAAGGUUAGCAAUUGCAGAAGGUUCAUCUAGAUAAUUCAAUCUCCUUACUAUUUAUCCAAACAAACAUACAGUAAUGUUUUAUUUUACCUUUGUAUAAAUCCCCAUGCAAAGUUUAGAUGACCAAUGUGCGCUUAUUUUUAUUUGGUGCUAUGUAAACCUGUAUGCAAGUAAGCUUUACAUCAGUGUUUUCAAAAUAUACCAGCGAUUGAAAGCAGAGGGUGGAUGCAGCUGGUGUUCGUGGUGGCGUGGCCCGGAAGGUGGCACCAUGUUUCUCGCCUGCAGCUUCCUACUCUUAUUAUAUCCCAUAUCUUUCGUUGUGUACAGUCGAUUACCACUGCACACCUCUGCUUGCUUCGUCUGUUCAAUUAUUUCAGCUUUGUCGCGGUUGCGACUUUCCGCUCUCUGUGUUGUGUUUGGAUGACAAACGGUUGAAACUGAUGAUGGUGUUGGCACAAAUCGUCUUGGCGUCCAGAGAGAGAAAGUUUGGAUGGAAGGGAGCCAAGAGGUAAGAUGGUGCACAAGCUUGUUGAAACUUCCUACUAUCCCAAGACACUGGACGCCAACUUCACUCAAGGCAAAAGGAAUUAUUUCAGUAUCUCAGACAUGCUUCUAUGGUAUCGAGUUAUCUAAUCUUUAUAGCAUAGUUUGUUGGAGGAAAAAGAAAGUAUAUUUUCGUGGAGAUUGUAUUUUAUUGUUUUGACAAUACUUUUUCGUUGGCUUACAGUGGCUUAUUCUCUGAAUUGGUUUUGCAGGUAGGAAGGUGUUACUGGACAGCUAAUAGCAGACAAAACAAUUUACUGUAAAUUUCUUCGAAGAUCUUGAAUCUUACUCAACAGUUUUGAUCUCCCUAUGACAGUCAAAGGGGUAAAUCUAUUUGGCAGUCCACAUCUUUUGCAAAGCUUCCAUAUGAGGUUUGGACACAAGCUCAGGCUCAUUUGCGUAAUUUUUUUUGUAGUUCACCACAAGAUAUCAAUGCCUGCUUAUAUAUCCUCUAUAAUGUGAUAGAAAACCACGAUGGUUUUGUGGCCAAAAGUAGUGAUAGAAUAUCAUCUUUUGACUUUAGUACUGAAUGAGUAGAGCUCCAUUCUACCAGAGGAAAGUGUAUUCUUUGGUGACAUGCAACAUGUUGGUUGUUAGUUUGCUUCACCGGUUAAUUAUUUCUUAGAAAAACAUCAAUUUCUACUUUUGAAAAGGGCAGCGACAUAUUUGAGUUUGAUGCUUGCAGUUAUAGACUUGUAGUUAUUAAUUUUGUUUUGGUCUUUAUAGUUUCUCUGACCAUCCAAAGUAUGAGUGUUUAUUUAUCUAAAUAAGUGUAGUCCGAGAGUAGUAGAGAGGAGUAGAGGACACUACUGUCCUGAGCAUCUAUUACUAAAUUACACACCUAAACCUGUUGUAAUGUCCAAACAUUCAGCGGGCAUAGCAUCGGGCAUGUUCUUGCUCCAUCAUUUAGCUGAUCAAAAGCGAUCGCUGAUUCUUUUGUGCAGGGAAUUUUCAUAGUAUAAUUUUUCAUCCAUGCCUUUCACAGAGUGCCUUUAUGGAGUACCGUGUGUCACCCUUAGGCUAAAGAAUUGCCCUAUUCUGGCACUAUUUUUUUUCUUUGUUUUCUGAGCUGUGUUAUUAGCCCCUUCUUCCAAAUAUCCACACUUCAACUGUUCUAACAUUCUGGUGAAUAUGUAUUUGCAACUCUGAUUGCUAAGUUAUGCUUAUCAACAAAGAGGACGUGAAGGCGAACACUCGAGAGGAGGGGGGCUCCCCUCGUGAGGGCAUGCUUGACACAACGCGGACCUGCUACUCGAAGUAUGUAGUUGUAACAUCCAUAGCCGUUUUGGCUGCUGCCCUCCAAUACCUGAUGUUCUAUAUGCCAGGGCCUCAUGACAAUGUAAUCGUGCAGUAUCUUGUGUUUCGUUCUUUUUCGUUUUUGGUAUGUCUUCUUUUCAGUUUUGCUUGUUAGUAAGCAAUUUUGGGUGUUUUAUGUAUAUUUCUUGCAAGAGCUGUCAAUGUUUCCA